UACGUAGGGUGCGAGCGUUGUCCGGAAUUAUUGGGCGUAAAGAGCUCGUAGGCGGUGUGUCGCGUCGGCCGUGAAAACCUGGGGCUCAACUCUGGGCGUGCGGUCGAUACGGGCAUCACUUGAGUUCGGCAGGGGAGACUGGAAUUCCUGGGUGUAGCGGUGAAAUGCGCAGAUAUCAGGAGGAACACCGGUGGCGAAGGCGGGUCUCUGGGCCGAUACUGAC
rnacentral:rRNA from 1 species